rnacentral:tRNA from 1 species
GUAAUAAGUAGUUUAAAUAUAAAAUAUUGGUCUUGUAAAUCAAUGAGUGAAUUAAUUUUCCUAUUACA